ACCUGAGUAAUACCUGGCUCAUCCUCCACGUUAGAUGUGCACACAUAUAUUCAAAAUAAAAAAGUUACAAAACUAGUCAGCACCAGAAGAAAGUAUAUGGCUGCACUAGAGGAAUUUUGGACGUUUACCAAUGUUGCUUUUCAGCUGCUUCAUCCCCAUUGCUCUUCUGUCCUACACGUGAGAGGCCAGCACUGGUGGUGUAAAUUCUGCCCUGGGGUCUUACUGCUUGUUCUCCAGGUACCAUGGAUUCAAAGCUGACAGGAGCUGGAGCCAUCCUGAGUAUGUUGAGCAGACUAAAAAAUGAUGUUUUGUUAAAGGAAAAAGGGAAGUGUAGCCAGUAACCAUCCCUC
rnacentral:lncRNA from 1 species